UAGCUUGCUACUUUGCUGACGAGCGGCGGACGGGUGAGUAAUGCUUGGGAACAUGCCUUGAGGUGGGGGACAACAGUUGGAAACGACUGCUAAUACCGCAUAAUGUCUACGGACCAAAGGGGGCUUCGGCUCUCGCCUUUAGAUUGGCCCAAGUGGGAUUAGCUAGUUGGUGAGGUAAUGGCUCACCAAGGCGACGAUCCCUAGCUGGUUUGAGAGGAUGAUCAGCCACACUGGGACUGAGACACGGCCCAGACUCCUACGGGAGGCAGCAGUGGGGAAUAUUGCACAAUGGGCGCAAGCCUGAUGCAGCCAUGCCGCGUGUGUGAAGAAGGCCUUCGGGUUGUAAAGCACUUUCAGUCAGGAGGAAAGGUUAGUAGUUAAUACCUGCUAGCUGUGACGUUACUGACAGAAGAAGCACCGGCUAACUCCGUGCCAGCAGCCGCGGUAAUACGGAGGGUGCGAGCGUUAAUCGGAAUUACUGGGCGUAAAGCGUACGCAGGCGGUUUGUUAAGCGAGAUGUGAAAGCCCCGGGCUCAACCU
rnacentral:rRNA from 1 species